CCUACGGGUGGCUGCAGUGGGGAAUAUUGGACAAUGGGGGGAACCCUGAUCCAGCCAUGCCGCGUGUGUGAAGAAGGCCCUCGGGUUGUAAAGCACUUUCAGUGAGGAAGAACGCCUGGUGGUUAAUACCCAUCAGGAAAGACAUCACUCACAGAAGAAGCCCCGGCUAACUCCGUGCCAGCAGCCGCGGUAAUACGGAGGGUGCGAGCGUUAAUCGGAAUUACUGGGCGUAAAGCGCGCGUAGGUGGCUUGAUAAGCCGGUUGUGAAAGCCCCGGGCUCAACCUGGGAACGGCAUCCGGAACUGUCAAGCUAGAGUGCAGGAGAGGAAGGUAGAAUUCCCGGUGUAGCGGUGAAAUGCGUAGAGAUCGGGAGGAAUACCAGUGGCGAAGGCGGCCUUCUGGACUGACACUGACACUGAGGUGCGAAAGCGUGGGUAGCAAACAGGAUUAGAUACCCCAGUAGUC
rnacentral:rRNA from 1 species